rnacentral:rRNA from 1 species
GGCCUUGACAUACUAAGAACUUUCCAGAGAUGGAUUGGUGCCUUCGGGAACUUAGAUACAGGUGCUGCAUGGCUGUCGUCAGCUCGUGUCGUGAGAUGUUGGGUUAAGUCCCGCAACGAGCGCAACCCUUUUCCUAUUUGCCAGCGGGUAAUGCCGGGAACUUUAAGGAUACUGCCAGUGACAAACUGGAGGAAGGCGGGAACGACGUCAAGUCAUCAUGGCCCUUACGGCCAGGGCUACACACGUGCUACAAUGGUCGGUACAAAGGGUUGCUACCUCGCGAGAGGAUGCUAAUCUCAAAAAGCUGAUCGUAGUCCGGAUCGCAGUCUGCAACUCGACUGCGUGAAGUCGGAAUCGCUAGUAAUCGCGGAUCAGAAUGCCGCGGUGAAUACGUUCCCGGGCCUUGUACACACCGCCCGUCACACCAUGGGAGUUUGUUGCACCAGAAGUAGGUAGUCUAACCGCAAGGAGGACGCUUACCACGGUGUGGCCGAUGACUGGGGUGAAGUCGUAACAAGGUAGGCGUAGAUGA